UUAUAUAACAAUCCCAAGCAACAUAAACAAAGUCAUUUAGUCUUCUUUUCUUGGCAUGAAUCAUCCCUUUUAUAAUUAAUUUCAAACAAGUUCUAUAAAUCAGAUUCUCUACUCUUCACUUCGGAAGAAUAAAGCAAGGCUCCAAAGAAAAGGAAGGCUAAGACUGUCAUUUUUGGUUUCUUUGCAUUUCUAUCAUUAUCAUUUUUGGUUUCUUUGCAUUUCUAGCAUUAUCAUUCCCAAUUUCUGGAAAUUGCUUUGACAGCAGGGCUAGUGUAUUGGUAAACCUAUAUAAAAUGCAUCAAUUUGCUGGUUUUAUUCAAAUCUCAAACUAUAAUAGUCACUGUACUUCAAUGAUGAAGUCUGUGGGUGUAUAAAUGUUUUAGCCCUGUUUGGCCCUCAUUUUCUAAAGCUCAUUUUUCUUCAAAUUUAUUUUCAACCACUUUUUAUGGAACUCACAACUUUAUCAAUUUUCAACCAUAUAUUUCAUCAACUUACAUCAAAAUCUAUUAAAUAUCUAAUUCUUAGCUAAACCAAACACGUAGUUAAUUUUGAAAUUGAGUCUUUGUUACCACCGUGCUUCAAGACAAUUGUGUUCUUAUAUGUGUCUGUGUUUGAUCUUAAUAAAAAGCCCUCAAAACAAGAUGAAAGCACAAACUGUGGCUGAACAUGGAUUAAAGAAAAGUCAUGAAAAUCAGGGAAUGAAAAAGCUUGUAGUAAGGAUCCAUUUAGUAGGACUUCUGCUUCUUAUAGAAGAACUUUGUGAAAAAAACUAACUUAGAUCAAUUUCCUCUAAAAGCCAUUUUAGCCAAACAAAUUAAGCCAUUUGAAAAUUAUCCAAACAUGUUUAGAAGCAUCUUCUUAGUUAUAGAAGUAACUUUUGACUUUACAAAAGUCUCGUCAAAUGUGUCUUUUUCAUAUAUUAAAUUUUGAUGGCUUUGGAACAAUACCAAAACAUUAUAUAACUCUUUCCUUCUUCAACAAUGCUUUCUUUUGUUUGGGCUACAUAAAGAUGGAAAUUUGGGAAACUGAAACAUUUUGAGCUUUGAGAUUCUUUUAUCAUGUUUUAAGUAAACUCGUAUUGAUUUGAUACUUGAAUGAUUUGUGGAAACUUACUAUUAAGGGGUAUCAUAAUUUAUAUGACAAAAGUUGGACAAACUUUGGAUGGUGUAUUAUAUAUACAUUAACCUAAUAUCUUUCAUUAACUAAUUAGAGUUUGAAUUCACUAUUUUACACUGUUUUUGCAAUCUUAUUGUAUAUUUCACUUUGUUAAUUUUUAAAUCUGAAUGCCUCGUUUGUUGGAUGUCUUCCCUACACGUGCAAUAGUCGAAGAAUUUUUUUCCCUUUGAAGACUAAAAUGAGAUAAUGCUAAAUUGAUUUGAGUAUUGAGUUUAUUUGUUUUUGGAUAUAUAUUGAUAUUAGUUGUUGAUGUGAAGAUAGAACGUAACUAGACUUCUCUACUUGAACUACAAAACUUUUCCAUUUCCUUGAGGAAUAUUAAUACAUAUUUUAGGAUU
rnacentral:lncRNA from 1 species